GUGGGGAAUAUUGGACAAUGGGCGCAAGCCUGAUCCAGCCAUGCCGCGUGAGUGAUGAAGGCCCUAGGGUUGUAAAGCUCUUUCACCGGUGAAGAUAAUGACGGUAACCGGAGAAGAAGCCCCGGCUAACUUCGUGCCAGCAGCCGCGGUAAUACGAAGGGGGCUAGCGUUGUUCGGAAUUACUGGGCGUAAAGCGCACGUAGGCGGGUAUUUAAGUCAGGGGUGAAAUCCCGGAGCUCAACGCCGGAACUGCCUUUGAUACUGGGUACCUAGAGUAUGGAAGAGGUAAGUGGAAUUCCGAGUGUAGAGGUGAAAUUCGUAGAUAUUCGGAGGAACACCAGUGGCGAAGGCGGCUUACUGGUCCAUUACUGACGCUGAGGUGCGAAAGCGUGGGGAGCAAACAGGAUUAGAUACCCUUGUAGUCC
rnacentral:rRNA from 1 species